CCCCUGCCCCGGGCUCUGCGCCACCGUCCCCAACGGAGACACCGCAGGCGGUUCCAGCCCCCCCCUCCCUCCCCCCGUGCCGGGGGCUCCCGGGAAGCGGCGCCGGGUGACGGCGGAGCGGGAGGGGCGGUUCCGGAUCUCCCUUCCCGAGGGAUCCCCCGGGAAUCCCCCCCGGAAGAUCCUGCAGCUCCAGGGGCCCAGAGGCCUGGGCAGGACGUCGGUGUUCGAGAGGCUCGGGGCAGAGGCCAAGGCUGAGGGGAAGCCCUCGGGGGUUUUCAGCCGCCUGGGGGCCACCCCCGAGGACCCCCCCUUGGAGGAGGAGGAGGAGGAGGAGGAGGAGGAGGAGGAGGAGCCCCC